GUGCCAGCAGCCGCGGUAAGACGAAGGUGGCAAGCGUUGUUCGGAUUCACUGGGCAUAAAGGGCGCGUAGGCGGUUCCGAAGGUGGCGCGUGAAAUCCCCCGGCUCAACCGGGGAACGGCGCGCCAAACCGCGGUUCUCGAGGGCGGUAGGGGGGACUGGAACUCUUGGUGGAGCGGUGAAAUGCGUAGAUAUCAAGAGGAACACCGGUGGCGAAGGCGAGUCCCUGGUCCGCAUCUGACGCUGAGGCGCGAAAGCGUGGGUAGCAAACAGGAUUAGAUACCCGUGUAGUCC
rnacentral:rRNA from 1 species